UGCCAGCCGCCGCGGUAAUACGGAGGGAUCUAGCGUUAUUCGGAAUUACUGGGCGUAAAGCGAGCGUAGGCGGAUUUGUAAGUUGGAGGUGAAAUCCCAGAGCUCAACUCUGGAACUGCCUUCAAAACUACAUUUCUUGAGUUUGGUAGAGGAGAGUGGAAUUCCUAGUGUAGAGGUGAAAUUCGUAGAUAUUAAGAGGAACACCAGUGGCGAAGGCGACUCUCUGGGCCAAUACUGACGCUGAGGUUCGAAAGCAUGGGUAGCGAACAGGAUUAGAUA
rnacentral:rRNA from 1 species